rnacentral:rRNA from 1 species
GACGAACGCUGGCGGCGUGCUUAACACAUGCAAGUCGAACGGUGAAGCGUCUUCCUUUUUGGUGGGUGUGGAUGAGUGGCGAACGGGUGAGUAACACGUGAGUAACCUGCCCCCUUCUUCUGGAUAACCGCAUGAAAGUGUGGCUAAUACGGGAUAUUCUGGGUCUGUCGCAUGAUGGGUCUGGGAAAGAUAUUGUUUCGGUGGGGGAUGGGCUCGCGGCCUAUCAGCUUGUUGGUGGGGUGAUGGCCUACCAAGGCGGUGACGGGUAGCCGGCCUGAGAGGGUGGACGGUCACACUGGGACUGAGACACGGCCCAGACUCCGACGGGAGGCAGCAGUGGGGAAUAGUGCACAAUGGGCGCAAGCCUGAUGCAGCGACGCCGCGUGAGGGAUGGAGGCCUUCGGGUUGUGAACCUCUUUCGCCAGUGAAGCAGGCCUGCCUCGUUUGUGGGUGGGUUGACGGUAGCUGGAUAAGAAGCGCCGGCUAACUACGUG